UUGACAUCGAGAGUGGAUAAGAGAGUAAUCAACUGCCGAUUCAGAUAACAAGGCUGGAACUUACUACAUGCCAAAACAUCCAAUUUUAUGUUAUCUGAAUCAUACUUGUGCAUACUCUUCCUCAGUGACAACUUCAAAGAUGAGGUUGGAUCAACAGCCACAACUCCUUUGAAUCCACAAUACCGAAUCUGAAAGGCAGAUGGCAUUGAAUCAUGACCACAUUUUUUAGCCACUCUCCUGGCAAGUUCAAUAGAUAUUUUCCCGAUUCCAUCAGAGAAGACAUAUUUGGUUGCACCAUGUUUAACCUUCACGUCAGAAAUAGUUUCAAUUUCGUUCCUGCUGACGCUUAGAGUUUCGGUAGACGAACCAAAUGACUGUCCAAGUCUAGCAGCAUAUUUAGCCACAUUUUUUAUACGGCUAAAAUCUCCCAUCCAUUCCCUUAUGGAAUCGGCGGUAAGUCCAGUUGUUGUAGGAGAAAACAUCCAUAGCGAGUUUUCACGCAACUGACUUGAUGAGAAAGCCAGAAAUUCAAACUUCUUACCACCAAUAUCUAUGCCAUUUCUAAGGAUGGAAAGAAUUCUAUAGUAUAUCUUAGUUCGCCCACUCUCAGAAAUGUGUGAAGAUAAAUCUGCUGAAUACAGUUUAUCCAACCCCUCAUCAACAAAAGAAACACGUAGAAAGUUAUCGAUAUGUUUAUGAAAACGACGGAGAACACGAUUAGAUACAUUAAUCUCUGGACCACAAAAGUAUACUUUGGAAGGUGUUAUCUGAACCCUGCGAACAUAUACCAACCCGUCAUCUAAAGAUAUAGUCGGUGACGGAGGCAGGUAAUUUGACUUGAUAUACAUUUUGUACUGGUCUUUCAGCCACCUUGCGGGUUCAUAACAGAAAUCCUUUGAAUAGUACAUUUUUUCUAAAGCGUGCUCGACGCAAUCACUGGUCAUUUUAAGUGGAUCAACUAGACGGUAGAAAUCAUUAUCGAGUUCAGAACCUGAAAGACAACCAUGCUGAACCAAUGCAUUAACUUUAAACAUGAUAUCAAAUGGAAUAUUAAUGCCUCGAGGAGGAGCAACAAUAGGGACAACAUCCAGAUUGCGAGAAAAAGGUAACCCUCUCUCCAAAGUGUAAUUCCCCUCAAUUUCCUCAUAAUGAGCAAAGUUUUCCCUGAAAUUCGGAAAAUCUCUGUUACUAGGAAGCUCUAUACAUAAUGCCGAAGAGUGCCCAAUACAACUGAAAGGUGUGAAAUCUAUGGAACGGGUCCAUUGCUCAUCAGGGGAAUCUUUAUAAUAAUUCUUCGCAGGAUCUUCGUAUACAUUUUUUGAAUUGGGAAUAUAAAGCUCAAAAACCUGAGGAGCACCAAUUAACUACAAACAGAAGAGAAACAAAUAAGAUUCGUCAAACGUUAUGCAGCAAAUUUAGUAGUAUACAAAUAAAGAGCAGACAAUUUUAGAAGUAUCGAUAAGAGUUCAGAGCUAAAGACUGAAAUUGGCAUUAAGUAACACAUUAUUCAGUAAACAUUAAAUUGCGUGAAACUGUUUAUCUUUAAUAAGUAACAAGUUAUCCAGUAUAUGCACAAAAAUUUCCUGCAAUGCUAUGGAAGAAAUGGUAUCCAUUGAAAUCUUACUUAAUAUGAAAUGAAAAUUGUGAAAACAUCUACCACAGUUCAUGAAGCAUAAAUGAGAUAUAGCACGCAUUAAUGAAACGAAAAAGCUUUGCAUGUCAGGGAUUUUAUUCAUCAUAUAAAAGUUACAUUUAACAACCUGAAUCAAUAGAUACUUGGCAGUUUUACCCCGUGGUCGAUGCAGCUCAAUCUUCCCAAUGUUCUCAUAUGAAAGCUCAAGUUUGAACUUCUUAUCAUGAUGGCGCAUAGAGAAUCGCCACUUUCUCAUUCCAAUGCCAAAUUCAACACUAACAUCCACCUCUCUCCAUAAUGCAGAGAAUCUUUCCUUUGAGAUCUGACAGCCAAAAUGCAGUUUCACAUCAUCUAAACUUUCCAAAAAUGCUCUUGGUCUUGGAUUAAUAUCUCUUUCCAUUUCCCGAACUUUUAAAUCGUAGCCCCCAUACCGCCAUGUUGGCAAACUUAUGUUAGACAAGGUCAUCAUAUACGUAGCAUGUUUAGCAGUGGUGAAUUGAAUAAUUGCAAAUGCUCUUCGAACAUGGCCUUUGCCUUCUCUUAUCUUCAUAGCAACCACACUUCCUUCACCGGUAUAGUGCUCUACGAAACUCUUUACAUCAUAUACAGUCUCAUAACAAGGGAAUCCAGAUAACUCAAUUGUUUUACUUUUACCCAUCCUCAAUGCCAACUCUUUUGAUUUCCCUGAAAUCGAUCUAUGUUAAAAAAAAAUAAAAAAUUAUGAAUGUCAUCACUACAUCAAGUUAUAGAUGUCAAUCUAAGUUUACAUUUUACAAGCAUAAUCAAUUAUUUUCUAUGCUUAAAGCAGUGAAAGUUUAUACACACCACAUUCAUAUUUCAGAACAUACCUAUUGUGCCACAGGACAAUAGUUAUGUUUAAUAUCUUGAAAAAAAUAAAAUAUCUCUUAACAGGUGAAAAUAAUUGUAACAUAUAGGUAUGGGUAUAGAAACAAAAUCAAAGCUACAUAGGUUAUUACUUAUUACAUUAGAUCUUCUUUGACUAAUCAAUAAUCUAUCAUCAAAGUAAUAAAAAUAUUGAUAUUAAUUCAAAUGCAUAAGAAUUUAACUUCUUCAACAUAAUCUAAGUAAAAACAUGUAGAAUUAAUGCAAAAUAUACUCUUCACAACUCAACCCUGCACAUUGAAGUUCAAACUCCAAGUGUGACCCUCACCCUGCUGCAAUAAAGAAUAAGUUCAAGCAUGUAAAGACAACUUGUAUAUAUCUUAGGACCAUUUUAAUCCCUUGAUUACAUAUAAAGAAGAUGAAGAUAGAAAAAAAAAUAUUAAAACCAAAUCGUUAUUUUUUUUGAAGAAACUAAAUUAACAUUGAACAUGAGACCUCGAAAAGGAGCACACUUCCAGAUCCCAAGUCAAUGCCACUGGACCAACCCAAGUGGGUUUAAAACCAAAUCGUUAUUAAAUGACUGUAUACACAAAACUUGACAACCUUAGCAUCACCUCUAUGCUUGAACCAUGUAAACUCUAUGCUACCUCAUUACUCUAAAUAAUCAAUGUUAGAGCCUUUGUUUUAGUUCAAUACGUUGAUUCAAACAUCAUAAAAAUCAAAUGUAUCUCCAAUAAAAAAAAUAAAAAAUUGAAAAAUUAGGUUAAAAAUUUGAUCUUGUUGUUUUAAAUACUAUGUAGGGUUGAUUAUACUUUACAGAAUCAAUUGUUUACACUCAUACCAAAAUUGACCCUUCAAAGUAAAAAAUUACAGCUUAUCAAAAAAUAACUUCAGCUGAAAUUCAGAAAAAGAAGCAGAAGACCACCAAUUUAAAAAAAAAAAGUAAAUACUUGAGUUCACUUCUAAUAUAUAUUAAAAAAUUAAAAUAUGAAGGUGUGAUAAAAACGUAAACUUUAUAGAUGUAAGAUACAAAAAAAAAAAUGUUAACUUUACUUGAGAGAUGAAAAACACAAAAGUGUAAGUUUCCGUUCACUUCAAAUAUAUAUAAGAAAGAAAAAGUCUAGAAGUCCUAGCUCAACUGACAAAUAUCGAAAUUGCAAGCCCGAACGUUGUGACCCUGGUUCGAAUUCAGGACUUCAGAGUUGUGUGUGAGUUUAUUUUCAGUGGAUUACCACUUCAUCCAAGACCAAAAAAAAAAUAUAAGAAAGAAGAAAAAAGACUAAAGGAUUUUUCAUUCUAUUAUACAACCGUACAUGAAAAGCUUCAUUAGAAUAUAAAAAGAAAAUAAAAUAUUAAUGAGGGUAUAUGUUAUAAGCAAGAGAAAAUGAUCAGCACUUACCUUGAUAAACAAAGAUUUAAGAAAAUAAAAUGUUAAUGAAGGUAUAAUGUCGUUGUGUUGAGGAGCAUGAAGACACGGAGAGAGAAAGAAUGUACAUGUCCUCAAUGCCAGUGCAACACUUUUACAUUGCCAACCCAACUAUUUGAACUCAGUAUCGUGAGCUCCAAGACUACGAAUUUAAUAUAUAUAUAUAUAUAUAUAUAUAUAUAUAUAUAUAUAUAUAUNUGUUAUCUGAAUCAUACUUGUGCAUACUCUUCCUCAGUGACAACUUCAAAGAUGAGGUUGGAUCAACAGCCACAACUCCUUUGAAUCCACCAUACCGAAUCUGAAAGGCAGAUGGCAUUGAAUCAUGACCACAUUUUUUAGCCACUCUCCUGGCAAGUUCAAU
rnacentral:lncRNA from 1 species